rnacentral:rRNA from 1 species
GACGAACGCUGGCGGCGUGCUUAACACAUGCAAGUCGAACGGAAAGGCCCUGCUUUUGUGGGGUGCUCGAGUGGCGAACGGGUGAGUAACGCGUGAGUAACCUGCCCCUGACUUUGGGAUAACUUCAGGAAAAUGGGGCUCAUACCGGAUAGGAGCUCCUGCUGCAUGGUGGGGGUUGGAAAGUUUCGGCGGUUGGGGAUGGACUCGCGGCUUAUCAGCUUGUUGGUGGGGUAGUGGCUUACCAAGGCUUUGACGGGUAGCCGGCCUGAGAGGGUGACCGGCCACAUUGGGACUGAGAUACGGCCCAGACUCCUACGGGAGGCAGCAGUGGGGAAUAUUGCACAAUGGGCGGAAGCCUGAUGCAGCAACGCCGCGUGCGGGAUGACGGCCUUCGGGUUGUAAACCGCUUUCGCCUGUGACGAAGCGUGAGUGACGGUAAUGGGUAAAGAAGCACCGGCUAACUACGUG